GAUGAACGCUAGCUACAGGCUUAACACAUGCAAGUCGCGGGGCAGCAUGGGGGUUGCUUGCAAUCCCCGAUGGCGACCGGCGCACGGGUGAGUAACGCGUAUCCAACCUGCCCUUCACCACGGGAUAACCCGGCGAAAGUCGGACUAAUACCGUAUGUUGUCCAUUGACGGCAUCCGAUUUGGACGAAAGGUUUGGCGGUGAAGGAUGGGGAUGCGUCCGAUUAGGUGGACGGCGGGGUGACGGCCCACCGGGGCGACGAUCGGUAGGGGUUCUGAGAGGAAGGUCCCCCACACUGGAACUGAGACACGGUCCACACUCCUACGGGAGGCAGCAGUGAGGAAGAGUGGUCAAUGGGCGUAAGCCUGAACCAGCCAAGUAGCGUGCAGGAUGACGGCCCUAUGGGUUGUAAACUGCUUUUAUGCGGGGAUAAAGUGGCCCACGUGUGGGUUUUUGCAGGUACCGCAUGAAUAAGGACCGGCUAAUUCCGUG
rnacentral:rRNA from 1 species